GGGUUGUGAGGUUAAGCGACUAAGCGUACACGGUGGAUGCCCUGGCAGUCAGAGGCGAUGAAGGACGUGCUAAUCUGCGAUAAGCGUCGGUAAGGUGAUAUGAACCGUUAUAACCGGCGAUUUCCGAAUGGGGAAACCCAGUGUGUUUCGACACACUAUCAUUAACUGAAUCCAUAGGUUAAUGAGGCGAACCGGGGGAACUGAAACAUCUAAGUACCCCGAGGAAAAGAAAUCAACCGAGAUUCCCCCAGUAGCGGCGAGCGAACGGGGAGCAGCCCAGAGCCUGAAUCAGUGUGUGUGUUAGUGGAAGCGUCUGGAAAGGCGCGCGAUACAGGGUGACAGCCCCGUACACAAAAAUGCACAUAUUGUGAGCUCGAUGAGUAGGGCGGGACACGUGGUAUCCUGUCUGAAUAUGGGGGGACCAUCCUCCAAGGCUAAAUACUCCUGACUGACCGAUAGUGAACCAGUACCGUGAGGGAAAGGCGAAAAGAACCCCGGCGAGGGGAGUGAAAAAGAACCUGAAACCGUGUACGUACAAGCAGUGGGAGCACGCUUAGGCGUGUGACUGCGUACCUUUUGUAUAAUGGGUCAGCGACUUAUAUUCUGUAGCAAGGUUAACCGAAUAGGGGAGCCGAAGGGAAACCGAGUCUUAACUGGGCGUUAAGUUGCAGGGUAUAGACCCGAAACCCGGUGAUCUAGCCAUGGGCAGGUUGAAGGUUGGGUAACACUAACUGGAGGACCGAACCGACUAAUGUUGAAAAAUUAGCGGAUGACUUGUGGCUGGGGGUGAAAGGCCAAUCAAACCGGGAGAUAGCUGGUUCUCCCCGAAAGCUAUUUAGGUAGCGCCUCGUGAAUUCAUCUCCGGGGGUAGAGCACUGUUUCGGCAAGGGGGUCAUCCCGACUUACCAACCCGAUGCAAACUGCGAAUACCGGAGAAUGUUAUCACGGGAGACACACGGCGGGUGCUAACGUCCGUCGUGAAGAGGGAAACAACCCAGACCGCCAGCUAAGGUCCCAAAGUCAUGGUUAAGUGGGAAACGAUGUGGGAAGGCCCAGACAGCCAGGAUGUUGGCUUAGAAGCAGCCAUCAUUUAAAGAAAGCGUAAUAGCUCACUGGUCGAGUCGGCCUGCGCGGAAGAUGUAACGGGGCUAAACCAUGCACCGAAGCUGCGGCAGCGACGCUGAUGCGUUGUUGGGUAGGGGAGCGUUCUGUAAGCCUGUGAAGGUGCGCUGUGAGGCAUGCUGGAGGUAUCAGAAGUGCGAAUGCUGACAUAAGUAACGAUAAAGCGGGUGAAAAGCCCGCUCGCCGGAAGACCAAGGGUUCCUGUCCAACGUUAAUCGGGGCAGGGUGAGUCGACCCCUAAGGCGAGGCCGAAAGGCGUAGUCGAUGGGAAACAGGUUAAUAUUCCUGUACUUGGUGUUACUGCGAAGGGGGGACGGAGAAGGCUAUGUUGGCCGGGCGACGGUUGUCCCGGUUUAAGCGUGUAGGCUGGUUUUCCAGGCAAAUCCGGAAAAUCAAGGCUGAGGCGUGAUGACGAGGUACUACGGUGCUGAAGCAACAAAUGCCCUGCUUCCAGGAAAAGCCUCUAAGCAUCAGGUAACAUCAAAUCGUACCCCAAACCGACACAGGUGGUCAGGUAGAGAAUACCAAGGCGCUUGAGAGAACUCG
rnacentral:rRNA from 1 species